UACGGAGGAUCCAAGCGUUAUCCGGAUUCAUUGGGUUUAAAGGGUGCGUAGGCGGAAUGAUAAGUCAGUGGUGAAAUCCUGCAGCUUAACUGCAGAACUGCCAUUGAUACUGUCAAUCUUGAGUAUAUUUGAUGUGGGCGGAAUGUGUCAUGUAGCGGUGAAAUGCUUAGAUAUGACACAGAACACCGAUUGCGAAGGCGGCUCACAAAACUAUAACUGACGCUGAGGCACGAAAGCGUGGGUAUCAAACAGG
rnacentral:rRNA from 1 species